rnacentral:rRNA from 1 species
AGCGGCGGACGGGUGAGUAAUGCUUAGGAAUCUGCCUAUUAGUGGGGGACAACAUUCCGAAAGGGAUGCUAAUACCGCAUACGUCCUACGGGAGAAAGCAGGGGCUCUUUAUGACCUUGCGCUAAUAGAUGAGCCUAAGUCGGAUUAGCUAGUUGGUGGGGUAAAGGCCUACCAAGGCGACGAUCUGUAGCGGGUCUGAGAGGAUGAUCCGCCACACUGGGACUGAGACACGGCCCAGACUCCUACGGGAGGCAGCAGUGGGGAAUAUUGGACAAUGGGGGGAACCCUGAUCCAGCCAUGCCGCGUGUGUGAAGAAGGCCUUUUGGUUGUAAAGCACUUUAAGUGGGGAGGAGGCUUACCUGGUUAAUACCUGGGCUAAGUGGACGUUACCCACAGAAUAAGCACCGGCUAACUCUGUGCCAGCAGCCGCGGUAAUACAGAGGGUGCGAGCGUUAAUCGGAUUUACUGGGCGUAAAGCGCGCGUAGGUGGUUAAUUAAGUCAAAUGUGAAAUCCCCGAGCUUAACUUGGGAAUUGCAUUCGAUACUGGUUAGCUAGAGUAUGGGAGAGGAUGGUAGAAUUCCAGGUGUAGCGGUGAAAUGCGUAGAGAUCUGGAGGAAUACCGAUGGCGAAGGCAGCCAUCUGGCCUAAUACUGACACUGAGGUGCGAAAGCAUGGGGAGCAAACAGGAUUAGAUACCCUGGUAGUCCAUGCCGUAAACGAUGUCUACUAGCCGUUGGGGGAUUUGAUCCUUUAGUGGCGCAGCUAACGCGAUAAGUAGACCGCCUGGGGAGUACGGUCGCAAGACUAAAACUCAAAUGAAUUGACGGGGGCCCGCACAAGCGGUGGAGCAUGUGGUUUAAUUCGAUGCAACGCGAAGAACCUUACCUGGCCUUGACAUAGUAGAGACUUUCCAGAGAUGGAAAGGUGCCUUCGGGAAUCUACAUACAGGUGCUGCAUGGCUGUCGUCAGCUCGUGUCGUGAGAUGUUGGGUUAAGUCCCGCAACGAGCGCAACCCUUUUCCUUACUUGCCAGCAUUUCGGAUGGGAACUUUAAGGAUACUGCCAGUGACAAACUGGAGGAAGGCGGGGACGACGUCAAGUCAUCAUGGCCCUUACGGCCAGGGCUACACACGUGCUACAAUGGUCGGUACAAAGGGUUGCUACCUCGCGAGAGGAUGCUAAUCUCAAAAAGCCGAUCGUAGUCCGGAUCGCAGUCUGCAACUCGACUGCGUGAAG